GGGGCUGUAGCUCAGUUGGGAGAGCGCUUGAAUGGCAUUCAAGAGGUCAAGAGUUCGAUUCUCUUCAGCUCCACCA
rnacentral:tRNA from 2 species